rnacentral:rRNA from 1 species
GAGCUUAUGGUGGAUACCUAGGUACCCAAAAGCGAUGAAGGGCGCGAGAAUCAGCGAAAUGCUUCGGGGAGCUGACUAUAAGCUAAUCCGGAGGUUCCCGAAUAAGGCAACUUCUUGUACUAUUUGCUGAAUAUAUAGGCAAAGUUAGAGCGAACUUGGUGAAUUGAAACAUCUUAGUAACCAAAGGAAAAGAAAGCAAAAGCGAUUCUCUUAGUAGCGGCGAGCGAACCGGGAUCAGCCUAAACUACCCUUUAUGGGUAGGGUUGUGGGACGUCUAUAAAUUUAGUUUAAUUAAAUUAGAUGAAGCAAGUGAAUAUUGCACCAUAGAAGAUGAAAGUUCUGUAGUCGAAAAUUUAUUAACUAACAGAUUGUAUCCCAAGUAGCAUGGGACACGUGAAAUCCCGUGUGAAUCUGCGAGGACCACCUCGUAAGGCUAAAUAUUAAUGGGUAACCGAUAGUGAAACAGUACCGUGAGGGAAAGGUGAAAAGAACCUAACUUAAAGCAAUAGCUUUAGGAACGGAGUGAAAUAGAACAUGAAACCAUAAGUUUACAAGCAGUAGGAAAACGACUUAACGUUUGACUGCGUGCCUGUUGAAGAAUGAGCCGGCGACUUAUAGGUAGUAGCAGGUUAAAGUUUUUAAUGACUGGAGCCCGAGCGAAAGCGAGUUUUAAAAGAGCGUUUUGUUACUAUUUAUAGACCCGAACCCAGGUGAUCUAACCAUGGCCAGGGUGAAGCUUAGGUGAAACUAAGUGGAGGCCCGAACUGAUCGAUGUUGAAAAAUCGCCGGAUGAGUUGUGGUUAGGGGUGAAAUGCCAAUCGAACUUGGAGCUAGCUGGUUCUCCCCGAAAUGCGUUGAGGCGCAGCG